GCCAAACUUAGAUUCCAGUUUCUUCAAUUUCAGCUUCAAGAUAUGAUCUUUUAAGAUUUUGCUCUGUUUUGUUUUUUUGAUUGAUCAUAUGGCAAUAACGAAGAGGACUUAGAGAGAAUUGCUCAACAGGAACAGGUUCUCCAGUUUACAAGGAGCUUUGGUAGAGAUUACAAGCAUCAGUUUUGAGACAGAAGAGGGAUGCUCUUUUUUGUUUUUGUUUUUCACGUCUUUUGCUUGUGUGGGUGGUUAUUGGUUAAUGGGUUGCUCUUUUAUUUUAUUUGUUAUAUGGAAAAGGCUCCAAUGGCCUUGAUUCCUAAUUUCCUAGUUUCCGGAGUAAUUUUUGUAAGUAGAUGGACUUGAAUCUCUCGAGUCUACACCAAUGUGUUUGAUGCA